CGGACGGGUGAGUAAUGUCUGGGAAGCUGCCCGAUGGAGGGGGAUAACUACUGGAAACGGUAGCUAAUACCGCAUAACGUCGCAAGACCAAAGAGGGGGACCUUCGGGCCUCUUGCCAUCGGAUGUGCCCAGAUGGGAUUAGCUAGUAGGUGGGGUAACGGCUCACCUAGGCGACGAUCCCUAGCUGGUCUGAGAGGAUGACCAGCCACACUGGAACUGAGACACGGUCCAG
rnacentral:rRNA from 1 species